rnacentral:tRNA from 1 species
GGGGAUUUAGCUCAGUGGUACAGCGCUUGCCUAGCAAGCACAAGGCCCUGGGUUCGGUCCCCAGCCCCG